rnacentral:rRNA from 1 species
AGAGUUUGAUCCUGGCUCAGGAUAAACGCUGGCGGCGUGCCUAACACAUGCAAGUCGAACGCGCUCAGCAAUGAGCGAGUGGCGGACGGGUGAGUAACACGUGGGCACCUACCCUAUGGUGAGGAAUACCGGCGAGAAAUCGCCGACAAGACCGCAUACGCUCGGUCACAAGCCGAGCAAAGCCGCAAGGCGCCACAGGA